GAAUCUUGGACAAUGGGGGAAACCCUGAUCCAGCGACGCCGCGUGAGCGAUGAAGCCCCUCGGGGUGUAAAGCUCUUUCGGCGGGGACAAUAAUGAUGGUACCCGCAGAAGCAGGUGCGGCUACCUACGUGCCAGCAGCCGCGGUAAUACGUAGGCACCAAGCGUUGUUCGGAAUUACUGGGCGUAAAGCGAGUGUAGGCGGUUCGCCAAGUCCUCUGUGAAAUCUCCCGGCUCAACUGGGAGGGUGCGGCGGAAACUGGCGGGCUUGAGUACGAGAGGGGAGAGUGGAAUUCCUGGUGUAGCGGUGAAAUGCGUAGAUAUCAGGAGGAACACCGGUGGUGAAGACGGCUCUCUGGAUCGUAACUGACGCUGAGACUCGAAAGCGUGGGUAGCAAACAGG
rnacentral:rRNA from 1 species